CCAGACUCAGGAAGGUCUAGUGACUGUGUAAUGCUCAUAACGGUGGAACGUAUACAAAAAAUGUUAGUUGGAGGCAAAGUAGGUAGGUUAUCUCAUGCGGAGUGUUUUAAGGCGGUGUGAUCCUUGUGUUAUCUAUUAGAAGAUCUCAUUUACAAGGGAAGAAUAUGUACUUAAAUCUAAAUUGGGUUUGCCUAGAGAGUGAGCUUGACUGUUGUGAGGGUGAGUGCAAGAUUCGCCGAAUAUUUAAAGUACUAGAUAAUCUGUGUUUACACAAGCUUACAAAGGAUUUGAGUUUAAUCUCACUAUGGUAUUGUG
rnacentral:lncRNA from 1 species